GUGAAAGCCUUUUAUUGCUAAAAUUUUCUGUUAACAUCAUGGUAGCUUUGCAUUUAGGGCUACUUUACAAGCCUGUGAUGUUGCUAUUCAAUCUGAAAGCAUUGAAAAGCUAAAUGUAGUAGAGCUGAAAUUCCAAGAUAUCAUCAAUCCUCUCUCACUUGAUGCUUCCACGGGAAGAUUGACAACAUGAAUAAAAAAUGGAACUUGAUUCAACACUAAGAUUGAUGAUCCCCAAUGCUUGGUCAACUGCUAAGGAGUUAAAAAUGAUGAAAGAUUAGGUACUAAUCGAAGGAAAUUGCAAGGAGCUGCUACAACACUUUCAGAUGCUACGCUUACGAAGUCUCCCAAUAUGGCUUACCUCCCUGGGGGAAUCAACUUGCUUAUGGCUCUUAAUGCUCGCUAUUGAUUGAUGUGGGUAAUUUAACUCUGUACAUUCCAACUUCUCUCAGGUUCGUUCAAAUUUGAAAUUUUAUUCCACUAUGGAAAUAUGUCAUUUUACCUCUCAAGCGUUUAUGAUUUUGUUUAUGCUGGAUUUGAUGGCAAACUAUGCCAUUGGUUCUGAUUCCGAGACUAGAAAGUGUUGGUUGAUUAUAGUUCAAUUAUCAGUUGCUAUAAUGAGAAGACCAAAGAAGAAGAUCUGAAAGCAAUGCAAGUGGAUACGACAGUUUUGGGCCUUUCACAAGAAGAGGCUGAAAAUAAACCAUCAUACAUUGCUUCCAUGGGAGUGUACAUAUUCAAAAUGUAUUAGAAAGAAAGAUAAGGGAUUCAGGUUUCAUCCAACCAAUGAAGAGCUCAUAAGUACUACCUCCCACAGAAGGUUCUUGACAGCUAUUUCUAUGCUAUAGCCAUUGCGGAUGCUGAUUUGCACAAGUGUGAACCAUGGCCAGUUAGAUAGAGCUGCUCAUAGAAUGGGUACAAAUAUCAUUCGUAUUCAGGAACACAUACAUACUAAACCUGGGAUGCUUCUGGCAGUGCUUUCUACUUAUUUUAGGUAUCAAUUAGAUAACAUCUAAUGUCUGACGGCCUUUGUUAAUUUUAUGACUUUCAAGGCUUUUUGUGCAUGUUGCAGCUCAAUUAUAUAUAUAUAUAUAUAUUGAUUAGUUUUGUUUUGUGAAUUGGAACUGUCACAUGUGUUUUGACAAUUGAUAUAGUGCUUAAUAGUAUCAUCAAUCUCUAAAUGUUUAAACUUGAAUUUGGAUCUAACUUGCCAUUUUUGUAAAUAGUGGUUGUUUGUUGAACUAGAUAUAGUAGGCUUACCUGUAA